GUCCAGACUCCUACGGGAGGCAGCAGUGGGGAAUAUUGCACAAUGGGGGAAACCCUGAUGCAGCGACGCCGCGUGAGUGAAGAAGUAUUUCGGUAUGUAAAGCUCUCUCAGCAGGGAAGAAAAUGACGGUACCUGACUAAGAAGCCCCGGCUAACUACGUGCCAGCAGCCGCGGUAAUACGUAGGGGGCAAGCGUUAUCCGGAUUUACUGGGUGUAAAGGGAGCGUAGACGGCAUGGCAAGUCAGAUGUGAAAGCCCGGGGCUCAACCCCGGGACUGCAUUUGAAACUGUCAGGCUGGAGUGCAGGAGAGGUAAGUGGAAUUCCUAGUGUAGCGGUGAAAUGCGUAGAUAUUAGGAGGAACACCAGUGGCGAAGGCGGCUUACUGGACUGUAACUGACGUUGAGGCUCGAAAGCGUGGGGAGCAAACAGGAUUAGAUACCCCAGUA
rnacentral:rRNA from 1 species